UACGUAGGGACCAAGCGUUGUUCGGAUUUACUGGGCGUAAAGGGCGCGUAGGCGGCUUGACAAGUCGAGUGUGAAAUCCCCGGGCUAACCUGGGAGCUGCAUUCGAAACUGUCUUGCUAGAGUAUGGGAGAGGGAGGUGGAAUUCAGGUGUAGCGGUGAAAUGCGUAGAUAUCUGAAGGAACAUCAGUGGCGAAAGCGACCUCCUGGACCAAUACUGACGCUCAGGUGCGAAAGCGUGGGGAGCAAACAGG
rnacentral:rRNA from 1 species